UUGAGUACAAGGCUAAAGGAAAUCAACACAGAAUAAUCCACUACAUGCUCAUUGUUUUUUAUCACAUGACUCUGUAAAAGAAGGUGCUUCUCAGCCUGAGAAAACAUCACUGCGCGAGAAGGCAAGAUGGUUCGCAGGGUCAAUGUACCUUCUACCAAGGCUGAUGACCUGCGUCCUGCUGCAGAACUCAUAUGGUGCAGGCAGAGGACAGAUGACUGCAAGCUGUCCUCUCACCACUGUGCAUAAAUUGUGGGGACUGUGCACCCACACACGUGCACAAACACAUAACUAAUACAACUUUUAAAGGAA